GAUCUGGACUUUUCGGCCCGCCGCCUCUAUAUCAGGAAUGCGUUUGAUGACCGGUUCGUAAUAACGUUUCAGGACCCGGAGGGCAGUACUCCGGCGCCUCCACCAAAAGCGCAUCGUGAUGCGUUUCUGAUGGGGGCGAAAUAGGAUCGACUGGGCGGUAAAGGGAUCGCGAGAGCGUCGGUAAGGACUCGACCGGUUUGGCGCAGGUAACCCCUGUUCCAAGUAUUUGGCCAAAACUCUAAAUGCCAACGAUAACGUUGUCAUGGAUGCCCGCCUCGCGGCGUAAGCAUCUUGCGGUAGGGUAACCGUCGAAACAGAACCCGGGGCU
rfam:Methylobacterium sp. Leaf93 contig_10, whole genome shotgun sequence.